GUGCUUGCUUCGGCAGCACAUACAGUAUACUAAAAUUGGAACGAUACAGAGAAGAUUAGCACGGCCCCUGCGCAAGGAUGACACAAAUUCGUGACGCGUUCCAUAUUUUU